rnacentral:tRNA from 1 species
GGGGGUGUAGCCCAGUGGCAGAGCACAUGCUUAGCAUGCACUAGGUCCUGGGUUCAAUCCCCAGUGACUCUG